GAUGAGUGGGUGUCUAGGUGGAGGGUUGAGUGGGCGGAUGGGUGGGUGCUAAAAGAGAGCCUAGUAGCCAAGUACCCAGGUGGGUGGAUGACUGAGGUGGGUGGAUAAUAUGUGAGUUUGUCUGUGAGUGGUGACAAUGUUUGGUGGGGGUAGGAAGAGGUUGGGUAGGAGAGUAGGUGGUUGGAGCAGGUAAGUAGCUGAGUAGUGGGUGUGUGGGCACAUGGGUAAGUGAGUGGGUGACUGAAGCAUUAAUGGAAUGGAGCAGGAGCAGCAUGAUAAGCCCGAAGUCCUACAGAGCCCAGGCAGGCACCUCACGUUCCUGACAGGUGCUAUCUACACACCUGGUGCUGUCCCCGCCCCCCCUCUGAGUCCCUGCUUCUGUCACUCCACACUCGUAUUGCCCCUUCAUUUGCUAAAAUGUAUGCAACAUGGUCACUUGGAAGUAGAAGGCACUAAGAGAGAAAUCAAAACCAAGUCGGCCCAUCAGCCCUGUACAGAUGGAAGGCUGGCAUAGAUGAAGCAGCUUCUGUCAGACCCUCUAGCACAGGCCCUGGGCAAGGAAGGGGCCCUGGGGCUGGAGCAGCUAUCUCUUCUCUGGCAGGUGACCUCACACUCAGCCGUGCCACCAGGGGAGAGGUAGUCAUAGCAGGGACAUGCACAUAGCCAGGUCCAAUGGUGUGAGAGUGGACGCGGAUCUUCUGAGAUCAGAGGCAGCAUCCAGUCCAUCUGUGAGUCCUCAGGACCCAGCUCAGAGCUGGAAGAGGUGGGGCUCAGAGAUGGCAUAAUGAGGGGCUGAAGGAAGGUGUCCACCAGACUCUGAAACUCCACUGGAGGAAGUGGCAACUCUCCUAAGGUAAUGUUCUCCCAUGCAUGCUGAAAACCCUGCAGGGACACAGCAUGGUAUUAACUAUGGUUAUGGAAAAUAG
rnacentral:lncRNA from 1 species